rnacentral:rRNA from 1 species
AUUGAACGCUGGCGGCAGGCCUAACACAUGCAAGUCGAACGAGUGGCGGACGGGUGAGUAAUGUCUGGGAAACUGCCCGAUGGAGGGGGAUAACUACUGGAAACGGUAUCUAAUACCGCAUACCAUCGGAUGUGCCCAGAUGGGAUUAGCUAGUAGGUGGGGUAAUGGCGCACCUAGGCGACGACCCCUAGCUGGGCUGAGAGGAUGACCAGCCACACGGGAACUGAGACACGGUCCAGACUCCUACGGGAGGCAGCAGUGGGGAAUAUGGCACAAUGGGCGCAAGCCUGAUGCAGCCAUGCCGCGUGUAUGAAGAAGGCCUUCGGGUUGUAAAGUACUUUCAGCGAGGAGGCGUUACUCGCAGAAGAAGCACCGGCUAACUCCGUGCCAGCAGCCGCGGUAAUAC